AUUGAACGCUGGCGGCAUGCCUAACACAUGCAAGUCGAGCGAGCGGCGGACGGGUGAGUAAUGUAUGGGGACUGCCCGAUAGAGGGGGAUAACUGCUGGAAACGGUGGCUAAUACCGCAUACUAUCGGAGAACCCAUAUGGGAGUAGCUAGUGGGUGGGGUAAAGGCUCACCGAGGCGACGAUCUCUAGCGGGUCUGAGAGGAUGAUCAGCCAACUGGGGACGGAGAAACGGCCCAGCCUCCGACGGAGGGAGCAGUGGGGAAUAUUGGAAAAGGGGGGAAACCUGGAUGCGGACAUGCCGGGUGUAGGAAGAAGGCUUUAGGGUUGUAAAGUACUUUCAGCGGGGAGGCGUUACUCACAGAAGAAGCAACGGCUAACUCCGUGCCAGCAGCCGCGGUAAUUC
rnacentral:rRNA from 1 species